CUCAGCUUCAGAAUCACACCGGGAAGGAUGGCUACAUCGCAAGGCGGAGGACACUGAGAUUCGGGAGGUGUCUGUUAUCUCCCCAGCUCUACAAGGUGAGGGCAGCAGCUCCCGGGCAUCUCAAGAGGCUGUUCAGAGGCCGGAUGGGAAGGCUUCUCUAGGUCGGUCGGUCGGAAGAUACCGUCUUGCGUCUGGCCCCACCUGCAUCACAGCCCCUGGAAGCAGCGGGGUAGAAGGCUGGUCAGGUAGGCAAGUGACAGUAUGUGUCACAUUGAGGAUGGGAUGGGGGUGUCGGCAGCAGCCUUGACGAGGUUCAUCAAUCAAUCAAUAUUGACUGUACAUCACCCAGUACAGAAAACCAUGCUGUGAAUAUUCGGGGGGAAAGAAAAAAAAAGAUGGCAGUGUCACUAAGAAGAAAAACAAAUGAUAACUUUGCAUGUGAAAAGCCAACAUGCUAGUGGGGGCAUAGACUUGAAA